UACGAGGGGGGCGAGCGUUGUUCGGAAUUACUGGGCGUAAAGCGUGCGCAGGCGGCUUUGCAAGACAGAUGUGAAAUCCCCGGGCUUAACCUGGGAACUGCAUUUGUGACUGCAUGGCUGGAGUGCGGCAGAGGGGGAUGGAAUUCCGCGUGUAGCAGUGAAAUGCGUAGAUAUGCGGAGGAACACCGAUGGCGAAGGCAAUCCCCUGGGCCUGCACUGACGCUCAUGCACGAAAGCGUGGGGAGCAAACAGG
rnacentral:rRNA from 1 species